GACGAACGCUGGCGGCGUGCUUAACACGUGCAAGUCGAACGGACAGACAGAGAGCUUGCUCUCUUGAAGUUAGUGGCGAACGGGUGAGUAACGCGUAAUCAACCUGCCCUUCAGAGGGGGAUAACAACGGGAAACCGUUGCUAAUACCGCGUACGAUUCAUGAACUGCAUCGUUUAUGAAUGAAAGGUGGCCUGUAUGUAUAAGCUAUCGCUGAAGGAGGGGAUUGCGUCUUAUUAGCUAGUUGGAGGGGUAACGGCCCACCAAGGCAAUGAACAGUAGCCGGUCUGAGAGGAUGAACGGCCACAUUGGUACUGGGACACGGCCCAAACUCCUACGGGAGGCAGCAGUGGGGAAUCUUCCGCAAUGGACGAAAGUCUGACGGAGCAACGCCGCGUGAGUGAUGAAGGUCUUCGGAUUGUAAAGCUCUGUUAAUCGGGACGAAAGAGUUCUCCUUUCCUAAUGCAGAAAAGUGACGGUACCGGAAUAGAAAGCCACGGCUAACUACGUGCCAGCAGCCGCCGUAA
rnacentral:rRNA from 1 species